rnacentral:pre_miRNA from 11 species
AACCACAUGGUAUAAUCCAUUAUCCCGUGAGGUCGACAUAACGGAACCGCACGGGAUAAUCGAUUAUCCUGUGCGGUU